rnacentral:lncRNA from 1 species
GUUAGGUUUUAUUCUGCCGUCAGACAUUUAGCUUGAUGGCCGCAGUAUCGUCCGUGUUUGAUGAAAUCGAGCCCACUGAUAUCGCAAAAUCAUGUGGUGUUGAAUAAACAUCGUUGACUGCUUAUAGGAUUUCGGAGGACGAUCUCAUCUCGGGUAACUUCGUCUUAAAUCUGUUGCAAAUUUAGCACGUUUUCUAUAAAAAAAUUUUAGCGGAUUUUGUGGAUCGAUCUACGUUUUCUUUGAUUUGAGUUUUUUUUUUUUUUUCAUGUGAAUUGCGUAUCUUAGACCUAGCGAUAAUUUUUUUAAACACAGUUAAGUUUGUAUAUAGUAGAAUCUAAAAUUAUAAGUCAUUGUUAGGGAUUGAUUGAGUCAACAAGAUGUCAAAAUAUUUAUACAGAAUCUGGUUUGGUAUCUUUGUAUAAUAUUUUGGUAAAAUCAAUCAUGAUUUAUAAUUGCCCUCUAUUUUUCAUAUCCGUCUUAUGGAGUUGUUCAUCAAUUCAAAAAACUUUGGUGGCUUCUUAAGAGAUCUAUGAUGGAUUGUUUGAAAAUUUACACUCUUUUGUGAAAAGAUAUAUGGCAGGUAACGAGACCGAGUCAAGCCAUUUUAUGUGAACGAUGAGAGCUUUGGUGCUGAGACCACAAACUCAUAGGAAGUUGCAAUGUGAAUGUAACACGUUGAAAUUUACAAGGUGGUCAGAGUCAGAAAAUCACAAGUCAAACAUGGGACUUAUCUUAAGCCCAAAUCGAUGCUCAAAAAGAAGUGUUCAAGAUAUCAAGAUCUAAACAAAGAUAUAUCAGAUCCACCACGUUUUAUUAGCGUAUCAUUCAAAAUUCAAUCCUUUGCUUUGGCGUCCAAUGCGACAUUGCAUAGAUUAUGAUCAUGCAUAGAUAGAAAUUGGUGCACAUAAUUGGGAAAUUUAGAGCCACUUGUCUGUCAAGGAGAUGGACUGAUCUCAAAGUUCAAAUGGUGGUGGAGAUUUCCAUGUUUUCCUCCAGCUCAUAGAUAGAAGACUACUUUGAGCAACAGAUCUAGUAUUUUUAUGAAUGAACAAAUGUAGCUAAUGUAGCAGUACUUUCCAAAUCCGGCCCCAGGGUCACCUUGGAUUGACUUUUCUUUAUUAGAUUCUUAAGAGUUUUAUGCCUUUACUAGAAUCAUACAUUUUUUAGAUAAAAAUUGUUCCAUUGUCUGUUUCUUCUUAUGUAUCUCGAGGGAGAUUUUUUACAUGUAGAUGAUUUUGUUCUUUAAAAUGACAUAAUGUACAUUUCAAUGUAAAUUAGACGAGAUUUAUAGCAUGCAAUCUGGUCUAACUUUUCAAAUCUGUAACGUGACCACCUAUAAGGAUAGGUUGUGUAAUUUGAUAAAAGAAAAUGUGUCCUU